rnacentral:lncRNA from 1 species
UAGAGCCUUUGUCAUGGCAAGUACUGAUUGGAAUAAAAGUGACUGAGCAAUGUCAGGCUUUUCCCAGUUAGUACAGCCAAUUAGAGAAGGACAUAUCGCAAGGAGACAUUUGAGCAGAUGAUGAACUACACAGCGUGUAUCUUUCAAUUUUGGGGAUAGUCAAUGAGGUUGAGCUGAGCUCUGAAGUGUGAGUGGCAUUUGGGGACACAGAAGAAAGGGAUAUUUCAACAAGAAGUGGUGAGCAAAGGAGAGCAGCUGCUAAAGAGCACCAUACCUGCCCGGAGAGAAUUAUCUGGAGCCACUGCAUACUCAGGUGCCAUUGUGAGGCAUUAAAUCACUGGGGACCUGAACUCCUCCAUGGGAAAUUCCAUGGACAAUGACUAUCUUCCAAAAGCACAGCUAAGAGACCCUGACAAGACCCUGAUGUCACCAAACAAGCUUUGGACACAAUGGUGGCUAUGAACAUACACUGCUCAGAUGUCCUGCUGAUCGAAGAAUAAGUUCAAUGAUGGCUAAGAUACUAUUCCUAUGGACCUGCCAUCAUAUUCAAACUCAGGACUACAUGGAAAAUUCAAACAUGUAUCAUCAUGCAUUCACAAUCACCAGGCAGCCAGACAAGAAACCAGAAAUGAAGGCAUCUGCCAGGAUACAGGUAUGCCAGGCAUGGCAGGCUAGAGCUUCCAGCUGUAACUCACCAUUAAGAAGUGCUUCCCUCAGAUAAGACAAAGUCCUGCCCACAGCCAGGAAGCUACUCACAACUGAUAGCUGUUAGGAAAAGGAAAACCAAGUUUUUCCAAUGGAAUGACUCUGA